GAAUAAGUUAUGCUACAGAAACUAAAGAAAUCCCGUCAAACAAAUGGUGAUCGAGUGUGGAUCAAGAACUGGAACGUAGCCUCUUUGUGUCCACUGUGGAAAGGACCCCAGACUGUCGUUCUGAGCCCUCCCACCGCUGUGAAGGUAGAAGGAAUCCCAGCCUGGAUCCACCACAGCCAUGUAAAACCUGCAGCGCGUGAAACCUGGGAGGCAAGACCAAGCCCAGACAACCCUUUCAGAGUGACCCUGAAGAAGACGACAAGCCCUGCUCCAGUCACACCCGGAAGCUGACUGGUCCACGCACGGCCGAAGCCUGAGGAAGCUCAUCGUGAGAUUCAUUUUUCUUAAAUUUUGGACUUAUACAGUAAGGGCUUCAACUGAUCUUACUCAAACUGGGGACUGUUCCCAGUGUAUUCAUCAGGUCACCGAAGUAGGACAGCAAAUUAAAACAAUCUUUCUGUUCUAUAGUUAUUAUGAAUGUGUGGAAACAAUAAAAGAAACUUGUUUGUAUAAUGCCACUCAGUGCAAGGUAUGUAGCCCGAGAAAUGACCGACCUGAUGCGUGUUAUAACCCAUCUGAGCCCUCCGCAACCACCGUUUUUGAAAUAAGAAUAAGAACUGGCCUUUUCC
rnacentral:lncRNA from 1 species